UUCAACAAGUCAACAGUUCAAACUUCUUCUGGACAAAAGGAAUAAAUUCUCAGAAUGAUUAACAGCAUAGAAGACAGCCGCUGAAAUGGGAACGUACGAUGUAAAAAUUAAAGACCUAUAUACAGAAGGAUGUAUUUUAAUAUGGCAUUCAUCAGAAAAGACAAUAUUUAAUCAUAAACCAUGUAAUUCCGUUGAGUUUCGUACAAGUACCAAAACAUAAAAAAUGGAUGCUUGUAAUGAGCUCAUAUUAGAACUAGGGAGUCCUCUGGAAUUACCAAUCUACAUGUAACAAGACACAUCAUAUGUGAGACUGAAUUGAGGAAAAGACACCAGCCAGGAAACUGACAUUCUAUAAAGCAUUCCAAAGAAAAGAUGGCAAAGGGGGGAGAGCAAUAAAACAUGAUACAAGCAAAA